AGCUGGCUUCAGCAGCAGUAUACUAAAAGUGGGCCGAUAAUUAGCAUGGCCCCUGGGUAAGGAUGACACGCAAAUUUGAGAAGCACUUCAUACUUUU
ensembl:snRNA U6 U6 spliceosomal RNA